CUCCCCGAUAAUCUGCAAAAUACUCAAAAAAUCAGAAUUAUGGACAAUAUGAUUUAAUGAUAAAAAAACAAUAAUAUACAAUUAUUAUUAUGUAUUUUAAUUUACAUAGCCCUUGACUUAUGAUGGGAUUUAGUUCAAACUCUGCCACUGUAAGGUAGAACAGUUAAGUCUAAAACUUCUUGCAUAUAUAGUAUAGUUAUAAAUUAACUGACCUUUCUCCAGCUCCCUGGAAUGGGUUCUAAUUGACAUAUGAUAAUGAAACCUGGUAUAUAUGCUUAUUAGACCACAGUGAUACAAUUUCCAGUGAAAAAUAAAAUAGCCAAAUUUUUAUCAUCAGAUGGAUUUUAUCUAAGUGAAAGCAUGAAAAUUGUAAUACUACUCACUAGGUAAAAGUUACUUGUGAAUCAUUGCAAGCAAAGAUUCACAAGCAAGACAUUCUGCAAUUAUCAUCAUGCUUUUGGAGAAGAAGACCAUGUAUUAUUUUACCAGAAUGGCAGCAGUAGUUUGGCUGCUUUGAGAGACUAUUGGUGUUUGAAAAGAAGGCAAAAAGAACCCAUGUUUAAAAAUGAAAACUUUUCAGUCAUGUUUAAAGAACACAAUUAAAAAGUUUAAAGACACUGGAGAUUUGGAUGUGGCACCAAAAAGAGACUGAUGGCCGAUUUCUAUGGAAGUUAUUGUUGAAGUUGCUGAAUGUAGCAUGCGCCCAAAAUUCUUUAGCCAGUAUCUGUGCAAUGGCACCUGAUUUAUCCAUUCCUUGGUCUACUGUUCAAAAAAUGCUGUGGUGCAUUUUACCCCUACAAGAUCAAUAUGAUGAAACAAUUAAAAUUGCAAGAUUCACAAGCAUGCAUAGAACUUUCUCAUUGGUUUUUGGCAAUGAUGAAUAUUGAUGACAUGUGACCUGGGAAUAUUCAAUAGACUGAUGAGACACAUUUUCAUUAGUAGAUACAAUGACUGUACAGAAUUGCUGCAUAUGAAGUACAGUCUGUUCUAAAAUGUAUUGCAGGUAGCAGGAAACAAUUUGGCAUUAGUGCAAAACACAGAAGUUCGUUGCACUUAUCGUGUCAAGUGUUGGUUGAUGUGCAAAUUGCACGAUCAGCCCUUCCAUUAUGGUUAAUGUAGAAAUUGGGGUUGGGAGGUUGAUGAGAGCCCGACUUAUUUUUAAACUAGAUAGGUUCAGA
rnacentral:lncRNA from 1 species